UACGGGGGGGGCAAGCGUUGUUCGGAAUUACUGGGCGUAAAGAGCUCGUAGGCGGUCUGUCGCGUCGGCUGUGAAAACCCGAGGCUCAACCUCGGGCCUGCAGUCGAUACGGGCAAACUAGAGUACUGCAGGGGAGACUGGAAUUCCUGGUGUAGCGGUGAAAUGCGCAGAUAUCAGGAGGAACACCGGUGGCGAAGGCGGGUCUCUGGGCCUUACCUGACGCUGAGGCGCGAAAGCUAGGGGAGCGAACAGG
rnacentral:rRNA from 1 species